GUACCCUCAAGCUCUUGCUUGGUGUUGGGCGUCUUUGUCUUGCAAAAAGACUCGCCUUAAAACGAUUGGCAGCCGGCCUACUGGUUUCGGAGCGCAGCACAUUUUUGCGCUUGCAAUCAGCAAAAGAGGACGGCAAUCCAUCAAGUACAUUUCUCAC
rnacentral:misc_RNA from 1 species